rnacentral:lncRNA from 1 species
AUUUGUAUUAGGGGUGGAUUCUUUACGCUAAACUGUUUCUUACUGUUCUUACUAAUCAAAUUUAUUUCUGCAAUGGAUCGCCGGUGUUCUUCUAAAUGAUAGAAAUUCCAGGAUUUAGAGAAAAGUCACUUCUUUCCAUUUUUGACACCUUGCACCAUGGACAAGCACAUUCUGCGAUUGCGCUACUGAGACCCAGGCAUAAUUGUACAAACUUCAUAUCACCUCCAAAGAAAACUUCGAUCUCAUAUUGACGGUCUUCAAUCAAAA